rnacentral:rRNA from 1 species
GAUGAACGCUGGCGGCGUGCCUAAUACAUGCAAGUCGAGCGAACCAAAGAGAGCUUGCUCUCUGAGGUUAGCGGCGGACGGGUGAGUAACACGUGGGUAACCUGCCUGUAAGACGGGGAUAACUUCGGGAAACCGAAGCUAAUACCGGAUGAUAAAGAGAAACGCCUGUUUCUCUUUUGAAAGUCGGCCUUGUGCUGACGCUUACAGAUGGGCCCGCGGCGCAUUAGCUAGUUGGUGAGGUAACGGCUCACCAAGGCGACGAUGCGUAGCCGACCUGAGAGGGUGAUCGGCCACACUGGGACUGAGACACGGCCCAGACUCCUACGGGAGGCAGCAGUAGGGAAUCUUCGGCAAUGGACGAAAGUCUGACCGAGCAACGCCGCGUGAGCGAUGAAGGCCUUCGGGUCGUAAAGCUCUGUUGUCAGAGAAGAACAAGUACCGGAGUAACUGCCGGUACCUUGACGGUACCUGACCAGAAAGCCACGGCUAACUACGUGCCAGCCGCCGCCGUAACAC